UUGGAAGGGCGGAGAAUCGCUCCGGGCGCGAGUCCGGGGAGGAAAGUCCGAACUCCAUUGGGCGCGAUGCUGCGUAACCCGGGCUUGUUUGGCCGGGAUACACGCAGGCAGUCCGUUUCAAGACGGACUGACGGACAGUGCCACAGAAAACAGACAGCCAACCGGCGCAAGCCGGCGGUGAUGGUGAAAAGGUGCGGUAAGAGCGCACCGCGUGAAGCGCAAGCGACACGGCACGGAAAACCCCAUCGGGUGCAAGGCCAAAUAGGAAACCGAGGAGCGGCCCGCUCCGCGUUUCGUGAAAGCGAGACAGGUUUCGGGUAUCGGUCGCUCAGACAAAUGAUUCUCUCCGUCGCGCAAGCGGCGCAGACAAAAUUCGGCUUACAGCCCUUCCAAAACC
rnacentral:RNase_P_RNA from 1 species